rnacentral:rRNA from 1 species
GACAGCAGUAGCCACGGUAAUACGUAGGUCCCGAGCGUUGUCCGGAUUUAUUGGGCGUAAAGCGAGCGCAGGCGGUUAGAUAAGUCUGAAGUUAAAGGCUGUGGCUUAACCAUAGUACGCUUUGGAAACUGUUUAACUUGAGUGCAAGAGGGGAGAGUGGAAUUCCAUAUGUAGCGGUGAAAUGCGUAGAUAUAUGGAGGAACACCGGUGGCGAAAGCGGCUCUCUGGCUUGUAACUGACGCUGAGGCUCGAAAGCGUGGGGAGCAAACAGGAUUAGAUACCCCUGUAGUCCCUGUCUCUUAUACC